CCUACGUGAGGCAGCAGUGGGGAAUAUUGCACAAUGGGGGAAACCCUGAUGCAGCGACGCCGCGUGAGUGAAGAAGUAAUUCGUUAUGUAAAGCUCUAUCAGCAGGGAAGAAAAUGACGGUACCUGAGUAAGAAGCCCCGGCUAACUACGUGCCAGCAGCCGCGGUAAUACGUAGGGGGCAAGCGUUAUCCGGAAUUACUGGGUGUAAAGGGAGCGUAGACGGCGGUGCAAGUCUGGAGUGAAAGGCGGGGGCUCAACCCCCGGACUGCUCUGGAAACAGUACGGCUGGAGUGCGGGAGAGGUAAGUGGAAUUCCUAGUGUAGCGGUGAAAUGCGUAGAUAUUAGGAGGAACACCAGUGGCGAAGGCGGCUUACUGGACUGUAACUGACGUUGAGGCUCGAAAGCGUGGGGAGCAAACAGGAUUAGAUACCCUGGUAGUC
rnacentral:rRNA from 1 species